GACGAACUGUCCUAACGUUGUUCGGAAUCACUGGGCUUAAAGGGCGCGUAGGCGGUCCGACAAGUCAGGGGUGAAAUCCUGCAGCUUAACUGCAGAAGUGCCUUUGAUACUGUCGGUCUUGAGGGAGAUAGGGGGUGUGCGGAACUCACAGUGGAGCGGUGAAAUGCGUUGAUAUUGUGAGGAACGCCGGAGGCGAAAGCGGCGCACUGGAUCUCUUCUGACGCUGAGGCGCGAAAGCUAGGGGAGCAAACGGGG
rnacentral:rRNA from 1 species